rnacentral:rRNA from 1 species
AGCGAACGCUGGCGGCAGGCCUAACACAUGCAAGUCGAACGGACCCUUCGGGGUUAGUGGCGGACGGGUGAGUAACACGUGGGAACGUGCCUUUAGGUUCGGAAUAGCUCCUGGAAACGGGUGGUAAUGCCGAAUGUGCCCUUCGGGGGAAAGAUUUAUCGCCUUUAGAGCGGCCCGCGUCUGAUUAGCUAGUUGGUGAGGUAACGGCUCACCAAGGCGACGAUCAGUAGCUGGUCUGAGAGGAUGACCAGCCACACUGGGACUGAGACACGGCCCAGACUCCUACGGGAGGCAGCAGUGGGGAAUCUUGCGCAAUGGGCGAAAGCCUGACGCAGCCAUGCCGCGUGAAUGAUGAAGGCCUUAGGAUUGUAAAAUUCUUUCACCGGGGACGAUAAUGACGGUACCCGGAGAAGAAGCCCCGGCUAACUUCGUG